UCUUGCAGCUCCAGUAAGGAACAAGACAUUUAUAAGGUAUGAUGUUCCUGCCAACUAUGACGAGGCUCAUCGUGCCUGUAAAGAAAUGCAAGGUCGUCUUGCUCUUCCUCAGAACAAAGAGGAGGACGGGCAGAUACGCAAAGUUGUCGGAGUUGGGUUUUCCAAGUACCCUUUUGCAAUGAGUCCAAGAUACUGGCUCGGAGCAGAUGACCGGCAGAACGAGGGGAACUGGGUCGAUUGUAGCACAGGUCAGCCCUUACAAUUCUUCAACUUUCAUCAAACCCAGCCUGACAACAAUGGUGGUUCAGAAGACUGCCUCAUUACAAGCCCUUAUAUUCGGUGGUGGAACGACAUAAACUGUAAUUACACUGCAGACGGUUACGUGUGUGAAUUUACAGAUUAUAUCGUUAAGUAAUAUUGUCCACGGAAGAAGCCGGAGAUGGCAACAACACUAUAAACGGAUCUGUCGCGCCAUUGCAGAUUAAAUGUUUGAGGAGUCAUAUUCUGGAGACUCAACUGCAUGACAGCAUCAUCCCAAUCUCUUCAUGAAAUUUACAAAACAGUAUUCCGUAUUACUUUUAUGUAGGGAAACCUAGUUGUCGAGUCAGACAAGUGUGUUAUCAGCUGUAGCAAGUAAGAGGUCUGACCAGGCAGUACAAUAAAAGUGCUAAAACUAAAGUUGAAAUUUGUUUAUUUUAUAUGGGAAGCAUACCACCAUUUUCAUGUUCCUUAUUUUACUUCCGCCGCAUUAACACAUCAUUGCCAUCACAUUAUGGAUGAUGAAAAAAAAAAAAAAAUACAUAAGAUAAAAAAAAAUAAAUAAAUAAAUAUAUAAAUAAAAUAAAAUAAAAAUAAAUAAAUAAAUAAUCAUCACACUGUCUCUUGAAAAAUCUCAUCGUGCAAUCUAAAUCCAGGUUCCAUAAUAAUAGAUGCUCUAAUAUAGUUAAAGAUAAAUGCAUACUUAGAGAUUUCACUGCUCACUACCAUUUCUGGCUAUUAGUAUUUCACCAAACAAUCUGUUAACAAGCCUUCAAUUUUGCUAUUCUCUAUGACUUUCUCCAUUCUCAAAAAGUGAACAUGAAAACCCGAAACUCAACCGAGAUUCUGCACCUUCCCAUGACUUCCGGUCUAUAGCCAAAAAAUAUCUUACAUUCUGUCUUCAUCUUUCCCUCUUGUGUGUCAUCCAGAUGACACCACUGCCGGCUCUAAAACUGAAGUCUUCACUUAAACCUCUGCCAAAAAUUCAAAACUAGGAUUCUCCACCUUUUGCCGGAUAUAAAAGUUUCAUAUUAACAUUUUCCAUGCCUUGAUCAUCAGGAGAUGGAGUCUCUCUCUCUCUCUCUCUCUCUCUCUCUCUCUCUCUCUCUCUCUCU